rnacentral:rRNA from 1 species
GCGCGAUACAGGGUGACAGCCCCGUACACAAAAAUGCACAUAUUGUGAGCUCGAUGAGUAGGGCGGGACACGUGGUAUCCUGUCUGAAUAUGGGGGGACCAUCCUCCAAGGCUAAAUACUCCUGACUGACCGAUAGUGAACCAGUACCGUGAGGGAAAGGCGAAAAGAACCCCGGCGAGGGGAGUGAAAAAGAACCUGAAACCGUGUACGUACAAGCAGUGGGAGCCUCUUAAUGGGGUGACUGCGUACCUUUUGUAUAAUGGGUCAGCGACUUAUAUUCUGUAGCAAGGUUAACCGAAUAGGGGAGCCGAAGGGAAACCGAGUCUUAACUGGGCGUUAAGUUGCAGGGUAUAGACCCGAAACCCGGUGAUCUAGCCAUGGGCAGGUUGAAGGUUGGGUAACACUAACUGGAGGACCGAACCGACUAAUGUUGAAAAAUUAGCGGAUGACUUGUGGCUGGGGGUGAAAGGCCAAUCAAACCGGGAGAUAGCUGGUUCUCCCCGAAAGCUAUUUAGGUAGCGCCUCGUGAAUUCAUCUCCGGGGGUAGAGCACUGUUUCGGCAAGGGGGUCAUCCCGACUUACCAACCCGAUGCAAACUGCGAAUACCGGAGAAUGUUAUCACGGGAGACACACGGCGGGUGCUAACGUCCGUCGUGAAGAGGGAAACAACCCAGACCGCCAGCUAAGGUCCCAAAGUCAUGGUUAAGUGGGAAACGAUGUGGGAAGGCCCAGACAGCCAGGAUGUUGGCUUAGAAGCAGCCAUCAUUUAAAGAAAGCGUAAUAGCUCACUGGUCGAGUCGGCCUGCGCGGAAGAUGUAACGGGGCUAAACCAUGCACCGAAGCUGCGGCAGCGACGCUUAUGCGUUGUUGGGUAGGGGAGCGUUCUGUAAGCCUGUGAAGGUGUGCUGUGAGGCAUGCUGGAGGUAUCAGAAGUGCGAAUGCUGACAUAAGUAACGAUAAAGCGGGUGAAAAGCCCGCUCGCCGGAAGACCAAGGGUUCCUGUCCAACGUUAAUCGGGGCAGGGUGAGUCGACCCCUAAGGCGAG